rnacentral:antisense_RNA from 1 species
GAUAAUGAAAUAAAAAAAUAUGGGCUCCAUAAUGCCUCAAA